GACGUAGGGUGCGAGCGUUGUCCGGAUUUAUUGGGCGUAAAGAGCUCGUAGGCGGCUCGUCGCGUCGACCGUGAAAACCCGCAGCUUAACUGCGGGCUUGCGGUUGAUACGGGCGGGCUAGAGUUCGGUAGGGGAGACUGGAAUUCCUGGUGUAGCGGUGAAAUGCGCAGAUAUCAGGAAGAACACCGAUGGCGAAGGCAGCUCUCUGGGACGGUACUGACGCUGAGACGCGAAAGCGUGGGGAGCGAACAGG
rnacentral:rRNA from 1 species